rnacentral:rRNA from 1 species
AUUGAACGCUGUCGGCAGGCCUAACACAUGCAAGUCGAGCGCGAAAGUUCUUCGGAAUGAGUAAAGCGGCGGACGGGUGAGUAAUACAUGGGAAUCUGCCUGGUAGUGGGGGACAACGUUUCGAAAGGAACGCUAAUACCGCAUACGCCCUACGGGGAAAGGGGGGAGUCUUCGGACCUCUCGCUAUCAGAUGAGCCCAU